UGACGGCCAUAUAACAUUGAAGCACCGGUUCUCGUAGGAUCACCGAAUUCAAGCCAUAUUGAGCCUGUUCAGUAUCUAGAUGAGUUACCGUUUGGGAAUGCCAGGCA